rnacentral:rRNA from 1 species
AGACGCGUGGAAAACCUGCCGUAUACUGGGGGAUAACACUUAGAAAUAGGUGCUAAUACCGCAUAAGCGCACAGCUUCGCAUGAAGCGGUGUGAAAAACUCUGGUGGUAUACGAUGGUUCCGCGUCUGAUUAGCUAGUUGGUGGGGUAAUGGCCUACCAAGGCAACGAUCAGUAGCCGGCCUGAGAGGGUGAACGGCCACAUUGGGACUGAGACACGGCCCAAACUCCUACGGGAGGCAGCAG